rnacentral:rRNA from 1 species
UACGAAGGGGGCUAGCGUUGCUCGGAAUCACUGGGCGUAAAGCGCACGUAGGCGGGUCUUUAAGUCAGGGGUGAAAUCCUGGAGCUCAACUCCAGAACUGCCUUUGAUACUGAGGAUCUCGAGUCCGGGAGAGGUGAGUGGAACUCCGAGUGUAGAGGUGAAAUUCGUAGAUAUUGGGAGGAACACCAGUGGCGAAGGCGGCUCACUGGACCGGAACUGACGCUGAGGCGCGAAAGCGUGGGGAGCAAACGGG